AGGAGGAACAACCGCAGUGGCGGGGCCAGCCCUGGAGCCCUGGAGUCAGCUCCCUCAGUAACCCCAGAGCUCUCCGUCUGCAGGGCCUGGAGGCUCCAGGGCGGG
rnacentral:pre_miRNA from 1 species